UACAGAGGGUGCGAGCGUUAAUCGGAAUUACUGGGCGUAAAGGGCGCGUAGGCGGUUAAUUAAGUUGUAUGUGAAAUCCCUGGGCUUAACCUAGGAACUGCAUAGAAGACUGGUUGACUGGAGUGCGGUAGAGGGUAGUGGAAUUUCCGGUGUAGCGGUGAAAUGCGUAGAUAUCGGAAGGAACACCAGUGGCGAAGGCGGCUACCUGGACUGACACUGACGCUGAGGCGCGAGAGCGUGGGUAGCAAACAGG
rnacentral:rRNA from 1 species